rnacentral:tRNA from 1 species
AUUUAUAUAGUUAAAAGAUAACAUUUCAUUUUCAAUGAAAAAUUAAGUAAUCCUUUAUAAAUA